rnacentral:rRNA from 1 species
CCCUUAGAUGUCCUGGGCCGCACGCGCGCUACAAUGAUGCAACCAACGAGUGCUGCUCCUUGGCCGAAAGGCCCGGGGAACCUUGCAAACUGCAUCGUGCUGGGGAUAGAUGAUUGCAAUUCUUCAUCUUGAACGAGGAAUGCCUUGUAAGCGUGAGUCAUCAACUCGCGCUGAAUACGUCCCUGCCCUUUGUACACACCGCCCGUCGCUCCUACCGAUUGGAUGGCCCGGUGAAGUGGUCGGACCGGCGGUCCCGGCGCGGUCGCGCAGUGGGGCCCCAGAAAGUCCAGUGAGCCUUGUCAUCUAGAGGAAGGAGAAGUCGUAACA